GUGCAGCAGUCGCGAAUUUUUCUCAAUGGGGGAAACCCUGAAGGAGCGACGCCGCGUGGAGGAUGAAGGUCUUCGGAUUGUAAACUCCUGUCAUUUGGGAACAAGUUGCAGCGAUUAACUGUCGCUGCAUUGAUAGUACCAGAAGAGGAAGAGACGGCUAACUCUGUGCCAGCAGCCGCGGUAAUACAGAGGUCUCAAGCGUUGUUCGGAUUCAUUGGGCGUAAAGGGUGCGUAGGUGGCGGGGUUAGUCAGGUGUGAAAUCUCGGGGCUCAACCCCGAAACUGCACUUGAUACUGCCUUGCUAGAGUACUGGAGAGGAGAUUGGAAUUUACGGUGUAGCAGUGAAAUGCGUAGAUAUCGUAAGGAAGACCAGUGGCGAAGGCGAAUCUCUGGACAGUUACUGACACUGAGGCACGAAGGCCAGGGGAGCAAACGGGAUUAGAUACCCGGGUAGU
rnacentral:rRNA from 1 species